UUCUCUUCUCCCGAUUUUUUUUUUUUAUUAUUAUUAUUAUUUUUCCCCCUCCCCGAAGUCACUUUUGUUUUCUUGAGAUGAUAAGUUUAACAUGACUCUUGAUUUCUUGUGCCCAGCACGAAGGCCUUGUUUCUAAAAACUAGUUUGCUUGUGUUUUACUACCUUGUUAGUAUUCCACAUAAGAUUGUCUUGAAUGGGAAAACACUUAACUCUUUACCAAACCAAAGGUUGCUGUUUUAUUUCGAAGCAUCUCGUGUUCAUUCCAGUGAAGCAGAGGCUGCACUUUCUUUCUGGUGACACGAAGGUCAGUGAUGCCGAGCUGUUGGCGACAGUCUGCUCAGAGCUGUCCCUCUAUUAUUCUUUUACUCUCUUUCGGGCUUGUUUUUUUAAAACCCAGGCUGCUCUUGAUCUGUGCUUUGCCUCAGCCCUGCCGUUGGCGCAGGGUCUCUGAGCCGGGCUCCAUCGCGCUCCGUCGGCCCCGACGGGCACCCGAUCAAGGCGCUGGUGUUCUCUCAUAUGAAACUUACUUACCUUGCUAGGGAAAAAAAAAAUAUAACAAUACCUGCAGAAGACAAUUGGCUGGUAGAAGAUCCCCGAACACUUUGUCCCCUUAUUUCGAAGCCAAGCUUUACCUAAAGUAAGGGCAGGUGCCUGCGACUCGUGACUUUAAAAUUUCCCCUGGUUUUCAGUACUCGGAAAAAGUACAAGUCCAGCAGCCUCUCGGGCUCCUGGUGCUCCUGUACCGGGAACCUCAGCCACCGCAGAGAACAAGGGAAAAAGCAGAUGAGGAAAGGAAAGAAAAGGAAAAAAAAAAAAAAGAGAAAAAGCACAGUUGAGGGUAUUGGGUGGGGGCUGUGCCGUUGGGAGACUGCCAGCGGGCACCCCGGGGUGGCAGCUGAUUUCCACGGGGCUCUCAGCCGUUCUGGUCGUAGUUGGCUUCGUUUUGCAACACCGCAAUAACGGCAAAACGACAGGAAAGGAAAAACAGUACCUAAAGGGGUUAGCUCGAGAAAAGUAGCUUCCUUGUGUUGGUCUUUCUCAAUUUAUUUUUAAUAUAUAUAUAUAUAAAAUAUAUUUAUAUAUAUAUAAUUUGCUUGCCUGUAAAAUUUGCGUUCAUUAAUGUGUUGCUGAUGGAUCACUUGGGCCUGUACACACCAAUUAGCGUGACCACUUCCAUCUUAAAAACAGAAAUCUAAAAAUAUAUAUAUAUUAAGGACUGUGGGUUGUAUACAAACUAUUGCAUACACUUGUGCAAAUCUGUCUUGAUUUAAAGGAAAAGCAAAACCUGUAUAACAUUAUUACUACUUGAAUGCCUCUGUGACUGAUUUUUUUUUUUUUUCAUUUUAAAUAUAAACUUUUUUUGUGGAAAGUAUGCUUAAUGUUUUAUUAUUUCCCCCGCCCCAUUCCCCUUGUAAAUACGUUUUGUUCUGUGUGACUCGGUUCGGAAAUAGUUAACUGGUACUGUAAUUUGCAUUAAAUAAAAAGUAGGUUAGCCUGGAAAUGAAAUUUAAAAAAUACCAAGUGUGUGGUCUUUAUUUCAAAAACUUGCCCCUUUUCUUCCCUCCUCCUCUCUCCCUUCUCCACCCCUUGUCCCUCGCCCUCGCACCUCUUUCCACUCCGCAAGAAUAGGUGGACGUGAAUCUUUGUAAUAAUAAUGAAAAGAAAAAAGAAAAAAAAAAAAACCACAAGAAAUAAGCAUGUUUUCUUAAAUGAGCUGUGUUAUUCCAUGCUGUUUUUCGAGAGAUGCCAGCUUGUCUCUGAUACCGUUUGAUUUGAUGGAGAGAGGAACUCUGGGACAUAAAUACUUCAAAUUAAAACCAACUGAUCUUCCUUUACCGUCCACCUAUCGAUACGAACUUAAGAACCUGUGUAAAACUGCUGGCUUUGAAUCCUGCACUCAUGGUUGUUUGGGUUUUUUGGGUUUGGUUUUUUUUUUUGGUUUUUUUUCCAAUCAUUUGAUCCCAUUAGUAAUGUUAUUUGGUGGUGAUCUGUAAAGUUUGUCGAGACCACGUCCAGUGGACCGUUCCUCCAGCAAAUCAGCACGUAGCUAUCUCUGAGUUGGGUUUCCGGUACUGGAUAAUGUAUGUAUUAAACAUGACAUGUUCUAUUAGCGCAAAAGAAAAAAAAAAAAAAGAAAAAGAAAAAAAAAAAAGUAAUAAAAUCCUUUUUUGGGCUGGCUGACCUGGCCGAAUCCAUUCUGUCGCUAUCCUAAAGGCUAGAUGCGAGGUCAUGUGACUGCUGCUUCAAUAAAAACAAAUUUAUAUUGCAAA